AGUCAUAAACAGUGAGACUGUAGGCUGAAACUGACCUACUAAAUUGGAAUCCUACUUGCUGCAAUAUGACCUUGCCCGGCUGGUCAUCGGUGGAGCCUUGUGAUCUAUACAGAAUAUUGAGCAUUAGUCGCAGUAGCGAAGACACGGAAACAACCUAAGUGUUCACCAACAGAUGAAUGGAUGAAGCAAAUGUAGCAUAUAUACACAGUGGAAUACUAUUCAGCCUUAAAAAAGAAGGAAAUCUGGCUAACUGCAACAACAUGGAUGAACCUGGAGGAUAUUAUAUAAGUGAAAUAAGCCAGGCAUGGAAAGUUUUUGUAGAGAUGAAGUCUCGCUAUGUUGCCCAGGCUGGUCUCCAACUCCUGUACUCAAGCUAGCUUCCUGCUUUGGCCUCCCAAACUGCUGGAAUUAAGUUGUCUGCCCUAUUGCUCAACAAGAUAAAAUGUCUGGGCUGGUGGCUGGAGGCUGGAGGAAGAAUCUGGAGAGAGAGAGAGACUGUGGAAAAGGCAUAGAAAGACCUUUGAACUAGCAGAACAUAUCUCUUUGAGGGACUUAGGAACUUCAUUCUGCAAAUCUGUUUCCAAUGCCUGUUAAGUACAAAACACUGUGUGGACAUGUUCCUAUUCUCAAGACAUUUGCUAUACAGUAGGAAGGAGAGGAGGGCCUGCUCUCUGCCAAACACUGUCCUAGGAGUUUUGCACAAUCCAUUGAGUAUUCUCUAUAUUUUUAACAGCCCUGAGAGAGUCUGGAUCCAUUGCAGCCAUUUUGAAAUUAACAAAUAAUAAGGGAAGGCCAACAAGGACAGAUGUAUAAAAGUAUAAUGAAUCAUAACAAGAGCUUCAUCCUCCUGGAAUUAUUGGUUUAGUAGUACGAUUUGGGAAAAUGAAUACAAUCACAAGAUGAGAACAUUGAAGCACAGAGAAAUUAUGUUAACUUGUCCAGUGCCAAAGAGCUAUUAAGUGGCAGAGCUGGGAUUUACUGCCACUGCACUGUUGCCUCUUUGGUUAGGAGCUCUUUGCUGUGCUGAGAUUGCAGUAUUUAAAGAUAGACACUGCACCAGGAACUGGAGGACAAGGUAGCCAAUUUCUUGCCAUUCUAUUAAGGGAGGAAGAUUUUAAACAAAUAACUACAACAAAAUGUACAGAGUGGCAUGAUCAAAGGAGUACAAGGAGCUAUCAGAGAUGACUAGGAGUUGGCCAGAUGAAGAAAGCGUAGAGGGAAGUGUCUUGAAACCUUUCCCCUGAACAAACCUGAAAGGAACCCUGGCUCCAUCUUCAGCUCUGGAGGUUCAUGCAAGUGGUUUGGAGCUAAUUCAUCCAAAACUGGCAUAGCGAUUCAGGAAUCCAGGUCUAAGACAGUUAGCACUUGCUAGGCCCCUGGACUCCAUUCAUGAAUCGAUCAAGCUCAGGCCAGAGACACAAGAGGGAGAAAUUCUUAGGGUUCUAAGUAAGACAUUUCCUAUAACUGAAAAACAAACCACUGGAUGUCAGAGGGAAGUAAAUACACUGAGUAAGGGUCAAUCAAAAAACUAUGGAGAAACUGAGUUAUAGUCUUCAGGUUAAUAAAUCCUCAAGUCUA